rnacentral:rRNA from 1 species
GGGUGGGGUUGUUCGCCCAUUAAAAGGGAUCGUGAGAUGGGUUUAGUCCGUCGUGAGACAGGAUUGUUGCUAUGUGCUGGGACCGUUUUGUGCCUGAAGGAAAGGGCCCCUUAGUACGAGAGGAACGGGGGCUCGCAGCCACUAGUUUACCAGUUGUCCGACAGGGCAUUGCUGGGCAGCCACGCUGCAAGGGAUAAGAGCUGAAAGCAUCUAAGCUCGAAACCCACCCCGAGACGAGGCACUUUGACGCCCGUAGAAGACGGGAUGAUAGGACCGGGGUGUACGCACCGAGAAUUAUAGUGGUGCCAGAAACCGCUUCGGUGGCGGAAGGUACCACUUCGAGGUGUUCAGCCCGCCGGUUACUAAGAGUUAUUACUGCUAUCAGG